CAGCGUGCAUGCACAUGUGCGCGCAUACAUGCAUAUAUGAGAGCGUGCAUGCAUUCAUGUGUAUUUGUGUGUACAUCUGCGUUGACCAUUAUUUAGUUGCGUUGCUGCCAUGCCUGAUAGACUGGUGGCGUGGUUACUCCAAUGACAGGGAUUGAUGUAUGGUGUGACACAGAGGGAGAUUUUAGGGGGGCGCGAUCGGGGGGAGUGUUAAGAGAUUAAUAGGUGAAUAACGUGCAUCCGCUAUGUGAGGAAGGCGUAAUUCAGGUACAUAGCCUGUAGAUGGCGCCAUCAUCUUAGUGUAGUGCAGAAACAUGCAGUCAGCAUACACAGCAGCGCCACCUGUUGGAUUGUUUUUGCGUCGCGCCUCGUGCAUUUGCAGCAAGCCUCGGACUCAUGCUGCUGCGCCACCCAGUAAUGUGAUCAUGAGCUACCCUGCAGCGGUGGAGGCUGACAGAGCGUGCGUGAAGCUUGUGCUCAUGAGGCGACACAGCCUAGGGUAACUCUUCACUUCCACAGAUACUCAAGGUCGCGCUGUGAUUGCUGAGUCGCCACCAGCAAAUUGGCAGGGGGCGCCACCAUUGUGGCAUCGAUCGCACAUUUGUCCCGCACCAUCGUCGCGCGGCAGUGUGAUCAUGAACGGCAGUGUGAAUGUGUUCGCGUGCGUGCGUGCGUGCGUGUGUGCGCGCGUUCGUGUUUGUAGCUAUGCCGACAGCACGCGUGUAGUUACAAGUGUGAACUAUACAUAGUCGAGCCUCCGCUCACAUGAUGCUGUGAGCGACGCUAGGUGGCGCCGCUGCUCACAGGAGGCAGUGAGCGAUGCUAGGUGGCGCCGUUCUGUGAGCGGCGCUAGGUGGCACUACCGCUCACCGGAUGUCGUGAUUGGCGAUAGGUGGCAGGGCCACUCACAAGACGCCAUGAGCGAUGCUAGGUGGCGCCGCUGCUCACAGGACACUGAGCGAUGCUAGGUGGCGCCGCUGCUCACAGGACACUGAGCGACGCUAGAUGGCGCCGCUGCUCACAUGACACCAUGAGCGACGCUAGGUGGCGCCGCUGCUCAUAGGAUGACAUGAGCGACGCUAGGUGUGGCCGCUGCUUACAGGACACAGUGAGCGAUGCUAGGUGGCGCCGCCGCUCACAGAACAUUGAGCGAUGCUAGGUGCCGUCGCUGCUCACGGGAUACCAUGAACGACGCUAGGUGACGCCGCUGCUCACAGGACAGUGAGCGACGCUAGGUGGCGCCGCUGCUCACAGGACACAAUGAGCGAUGCUAGGUGGCGCCGCUGCUCACAUGACACCGUGAAUGAUGCUAGGUGGCGCCACCACUCACAGGAUGCACUGAGCGACUCUAGGUGGAGCCACGUUAUUGAACCGCCUUCGAUCGUUCGCUCGCUGUAGAUUGCGGGCUCAGCGUGCCAGUAGGGGUAUGCCGCUAGCUCAUUGCGCGUUUUCUUGUUUUAGGUUGUUGGCACGGGGUCGACAGUGUCGCUCUCACGCUCUAGCUAGAUGCUGCUCGUGUCCUCACAAUUUCACGUAUACAAUUUACAGGCGUGUGCGCGUGCGUGCGUGCGUGAGAGAGAAGCGGGUCAAGCUCGCCCGCUACAGGGGGGGGGGCAACGUUUACGUGUGUACGCGCGCGCGUGGGCUCUAGCGUUGUGGUUUAUGCGCACGUUUUAGAUAUGUCGAGUCGAGUUCUCUGCAAACUAGUUGUAUUGGUGUGCGUGCGUGCGUGCGUGCGUGCGUGCGUGCGUGAAGGGUGUGUGUUUGUCUAGCGUGUCAUUCUCAUCUCGCCCCCCCCCCACACACCCGCACCGCGCCGCCUCAACUUACGGUCGUCUGAUCGCUGAUUAAUGACGUCACACUGCAAACAAUCAAAACACAAAACCGCCCUCUGUCGGCGAACAAUGAGUUUGUGUUUACUGACAGGACGUGGCAAGUGCGCAUGUGCGAGUUUGGGGUCAUGUGAGUCACGGGGCAUGCGUAUUUUGAACCGUGGGGGGAGGGUCGCAACGCUUGCGUAUUUUGAAUCGUGGGGGAGGGAGGGAGGGUCGCAGCACUUGCGUAUUUUGAACCGUGGGGGGAGGGUUGCAGCGCUUGCGUAUUUUGAACCGUUGGGGUAGGGGAUUGCAACAACAGAUCGAGUGUGUUUAACGUCUGUACAUAAUAUGCUUGUUGAACAAGCAGGUUUUGUUAUGAAUGUAAUAUAACACGACGUGUCAACGCGAGGGCGGUGCGACCAGUAUUUUUAAUGUUAUGCGAUGCGGAUAUGCAUACAUACAUAGAAACGUAGUACGACGCGUACAGGUUUUUAACUUGGUCGAUUUUAUGUCACACACACACACACACACACACACACACACACACACACACACCAGUAAAUGAUGUUGUGAUUAUAAUAUGUACAGUCAUUACAAGAAAGUA
rnacentral:lncRNA from 1 species